CAGCCACACAAUUGUCCGUUGAUCUUGUCACUGUUCUCCCACGCAGAAUGCUCUCCAGUUUAAGCUAGGAGUUAAAGGGCUGAUAGCAUGCUUUUUAGACUUUUCUAGACUGUUAUAUGCCAUAAGUAUACAUGUCUGCUAACAUAGAAAAAUCUGCCAGGAGUAUUCGCGCCCACCGAAAACGCCCCUCAUUAAGUGUGUGAAACAGUUUGUUUGCGCUCCAACUUUACUUCUGUAACAGUGUGACGUCUGACUGUGGGAGAUGCUGAAGUGCAGAAGUCCUGCCUCCGAGCUAUCUGCAAUGUUAACAACUUCUCCAUGGUGUGAAUUUGCCGACACACCCGCAAAGCGUUUAACCAAUCACAACAGAGUGGGCGUGCUGACCAAUCACAGCAGAGUGGGCGUGCUGACCAAUCACAACAGACUGGGCGUGCUGACCAAUCACAACAGACUGGGCGUGCUGACCAAUCAGGGCAGACUGGGCUGCUCGGAGGGCCUUAAAGGGACAUAAUACAAAACAGACUUGAAAGAUUCUGAAAUUGGUUUUGCAGAGUGUGAGAAUAAUAAGGGGUAUUAUUAACAUACAGGCGUGUAACCUUAUUCUAGUUAUACCCCAAAAUGCAAUUAUUAACCCUCAAGACCAUGAUAUGGGAUCUUUAAGCCAAUAGCCUACUAAGUGCAAGAUGUGUGUGUGCGUUUCUGUCUGGCUAGUCUGUCCGGCCGGCGCUCUCUCCAUAUCGCACACAUGUCCUCCCCUUCAGCCUCCUCUGUCUGUGGUGUCUCUGCAGAGAGCCAGCUGUCCCUUUAGGCCCCUCUCCAGACCCUCAGGGCUGAGAGCACAAUCACGCGACCCACUCCAUCCCUUCAAUUGGAGGUUAUAAAAUAGCAUUUAGAAAUCAUUUGUGUAGUUGAAUCUUAAUAGAGCUGUUAGCAGUUAGGAAUAAUUUUGUGAAAAGGCCGGUUCAGCAGGUGACUGAAAUGUCGGAGUUCUCCAAACAAUCAUAGACCUGCUUCUCCCAACGUCACGCCAACAGCAGACUGACGCUCAGAGAACGGCUUCAGCGAUCUUAAUCAGCCCAUCAGGAUUCAUUCUUGGUCAAAUAGAAUAUUUAUUAAUCCUUGUAUACCUAUGUUCCUUGACUUAUUGCUUAUGUUUAACAAAAUGUAUUUGUUUAUCACGCCCAUUGAUAAGAGUGUUCAAAAGCAUCAAACAUCUUUCAUGAGUAUUAGCUGUGUUUAAAGGCUUGGAUCAGAGAACUGGCUCAUUUCAUUCAUCAGACUCGACCCACAUUUCUCUUUCAUUCAAAGAGAUGUUCAGACAGUGAACAGCAGUCAUAGUAGGACAGUUAUAGGGCUAUGUUCGGUUCUCCAAACCAAUGACUUAAAUAAGCCCACAGUCGGCCUUGAAAAGGAUCGCUCAGAUCCUAAAUAGCAGACACAUUAAUGUCAAACAUUGGCAAACCAGAUGGUUUAAUGAACGGAAAGAGCCAAACAGUGCAUAAAAUUGAACUGAUAAUAUAAUUCACUUUAUUAGUUUGUUCAUGUUUGGACACUAGGUCAACGUAUGCUCUAUAAAUCCAGUUUCACAAUGGUGUCCUUUCAGAAACAAAAGGCAAGUGCCCUGAGAGGACCUUGAUUCCCUGUGUAUAUGGAGUGAGAGGACCUUGGUUCCCUGUGUAUAUGGAGUGAGAGGACCUUGGUUUCCUGUGUAUAUGGAGUGAGAGGACCUUGGUUCCCUGUGUACAUGGAGUGAGAGGACCUUGGUUCCCUGUGUACAUGGAGUGAGAGGACCUUGGUUCCCUGUGUACAUGGAGUGAGAGGACCUUGGUUCCCUGUGUACAUGGAGUGAGAGGACCUUGGUUCCCUGUGUACAUGGAGUGAGAGGACCUGGGUUCCCUGUGUAUAUGGAGUGAGAGGACUGAUGUAUGUAUAAGUGUACCUCCAUCCUCCUGACCCCCUCUCUC